GAAACCCAUGCUUUUUGACGGCCUUUUUCCUAAUCAAAGGAACUUGUUGAUUAACCGAAAUUACCCGUUAAUUUUCACUCUCUCUCAAAGUUUUUAUACCGUCGUCUUAAGAACACACUACAAAUUAUGUUCUAAAUUAACUUUCUUAAAUAAGUCAGAUCAAGGUGAAGCCUAUGAAAGAGAUCACAAUGAGUUAUUCAUAAAUAUAAUUUUUAGAUUUUUAUCUAAAGUAUGAAUGAAUUAAGAUUUGAUAGUGCCAUCAAAUCAACAAGCUAUAGGGAAAUAGUAAAAAAAGGUGC
rnacentral:rRNA from 1 species